rnacentral:rRNA from 1 species
UCAGGAUGAACGCUGGCGGCGUGCCUAACACAUGCAAGUCGAGCGGAGAUAAUGGGAGAUUCUUCGGAUGACCCCGCUAUCUUAGCGGCGGAUGGGUGAGUAACACGUGGGUAACCUGCCCUGCACAGGGGGAUAACAGCUGGAAACGGCUGUUAAUACCGCAUAUGCACACGCUGUCGCAUGGCAGGGGGUGGAAAGAUUUAUCGGUGCAGGAUGGGGCCCGCGUCGGAUUAACUAGUUGGCAGGGUAACGGCCUACCAAGGUGAUGAUCCGUAGCCGACCUGAGAGGGUGACCGGCCACAUUGGGACUGAGACACGGCCCAAACUCCUACGGGAGGCAGCAGUGGGGGAUAUUGCACAAUGGGCGCAAGCCUGAUGCAGCGACGCCGCGUGAAGGAAGAAGUAUUUCGGUAUGUAAACUUCUAUCAGCGGGGAAGAAGAUGACGGUACCCGACUAAGAAGCCCCGGCUAACUACGUGCCAGCAGCGGC